rnacentral:misc_RNA from 1 species
AAUUCUUGAAAUCAUUCGUUAUAAUUGAAAUGCUUAAAACCAUGCUGCUUCACGAGUUCGUCUCGUUGUGCAGUCUGCAUAUCCUCUCUCAUCAUCUCCGUGACCAGUUCAACGAACGAUGUCGUCGGUGACCAACCGAGCUUCUCGUAUGCCUUUGUCGAAAGCGUCUCUACUUCUGUGGGACGGAAGUAACGCGGAUCGACUUCGACGAUACAUCGUCCCGUGGAAACAUCGUACCCUUUUUCGUCAACACCCUCACCUUCCCAGCGAAUG